UACGGGGGGGGCAAGCGUUGUUCGGAAUUACUGGGCGUAAAGGGUUCGUAGGGGGCCAACUCAGUCAGACGUGAAAUCCCUCAGCUCAACUGGGGAACUGCGUCUGAUACUAGAUGGCUCGAGUGCAGGAGAGGAACGCGGAAUUCCAGGUGUAGCGGUGAAAUGCGUAGAUAUCUGGAGGAACACCGGUGGCGAAGGCGGCGUUCUGGACUGCAACUGACACUGAGGAACGAAAGCCAGGGGAGCAAACGGG
rnacentral:rRNA from 1 species